CCUACGGGGGGCAGCAGUGGGGAAUAUUGGACAAUGGGCGAAAGCCUGAUCCAGCCAUGCCGCGUGUGUGAAGAAGGCCUUCGGGUUGUAAAGCACUUUCAGUGGGGAAGAAAGCCUUGGGGCUAAUACCCUCGAGGAAGGACAUCACCCACAGAAGAAGCACCAGCUAACUCCGUGCCAGCAGCCGCGGUAAUACGGAGGGUGCGAGCGUUAAUCGGAAUUACUGGGCGUAAAGCGCGCGUAGGCGGUCUGAUAAGCCGGUUGUGAAAGCCCCGGGCUCAACCUGGGAACGGCAUCCGGAACUGUCAGGCUAGAGUGCAGGAGAGGAAGGUAGAAUUCCCGGUGUAGCGGUGAAAUGCGUAGAGAUCGGGAGGAAUACCAGUGGCGAAGGCGGCCUUCUGGACUGACACUGACGCUGAGGUGCGAAAGCGUGGGUAGCAAACAGGAUUAGAUACCCUAGUAGUC
rnacentral:rRNA from 1 species